rnacentral:misc_RNA from 1 species
CAUUCCCUGACUUACCUGGG